rnacentral:sRNA from 1 species
GUCAACGGGUUCUCUGGAAGAACAGGUGAAGAAUGGAGUAUCCACAAAUGACAAUACCAAAUAUACUCCCUCCUGUUCUUAUGAUCCUAUUGAGGUUGAGGUUUUACUGGAACUCAAGCCAUUCUUUUCCCUUCUCAUCAUCCUGUAUCUAUUGUUUGGCUUGAAGAAAGUAUCAUUGUAAAACAUCCAAAAGCCUGAAGUCUCACCCUUGGAACACAGGAAGCAAAACUCUCAAAUAUCAUCCUGGG